AGUGAACGCUGGCGGUAGGCCUAACACAUGCAAGUCGAACGGCAGCACAGUAAGAGCUUGCUCUUACGGGUGGCGAGUGGCGGACGGGUGAGGAAUACAUCGGAAUCUACUUUUUCGUGGGGGAUAACGUAGGGAAACUUACGCUAAUACCGCAUACGACCUACGGGUGAAAGCAGGGGAUCUUCGGACCUUGCGCGAUUGAAUGAGCCGAUGUCGGACUAGCUAGUUGGCGGGGUAAAGGCCCACCAAGGCGACGAUCCGUAGCUGGUCUGAGAGGAUGGUCAGCCACACUGGAACUGAGACACGGUCCAGACUCCUACGGGAGGCAGCAGUGGGGAAUAUUGGACAAUGGGCGCAAGCCUGAUCCAGCCAUACCGUGUGGGUGAAGAAGGCCUUCGGGUUGUAAAGCCCUUUUGUUGGGAAAGAAAAGCAGCAGGUUAAUACCCCGCUGUUCUGACGGUACCCAAAGAAUAAGCACCGGCUAACUUCGUG
rnacentral:rRNA from 1 species